rnacentral:rRNA from 1 species
AUUGAACGCUGGCGGCAGGCCUAACACAUGCAAGUCGAACGGUAACAGGAAGCAGCUUGCUGCUUCGCUGACGAGUGGCGGACGGGUGAGUAAUGUCUGGGAAGCUGCCUGAUGGAGGGGGAUAACUACUGGAAACGGUAGCUAAUACCGCAUAAUGUCGCAAGACCAAAGAGGGGGACCUUCGGGCCUCUUGCCAUCGGAUGUGCCCAGAUGGGAUUAGCUUGUUGGUGGGGUAACGGCUCACCAAGGCGACGAUCCCUAGCUGGUCUGAGAGGAUGACCAGCCACACUGGAACUGAGACACGGUCCAGACUCCUACGGGAGGCAGCAGUGGGGAAUAUUGCACAAUGGGCGCAAGCCUGAUGCAGCCAUGCCGCGUGUAUGAAGAAGGCCUUCGGGUUGUAAAGUACUUUCAGCGGGGAGGAAGGGAGCAAAGUUAAUACCUUUGCUCAUUGACGUUACCCGCAGAAGAAGCACCGGCUAACUCCGUG